rnacentral:rRNA from 1 species
AUGAAGAAGGCUGAACAGAGGCAGUGCGGACUCAUCCUUGGCUUGUUUGGACUCAUCCUUGGCUUGUUUGGACAAGCAUCGGGGCUGCUAGUAAACUUGGCCAAAACCGCAGCCAUCCCGAUCCGGUGCGUUCAAGAGGAGAUCCCAUUGGUAAGGGACACGCUUGGAUGUCCGACGGCUGAGUUCCCAUGCAAGUACUUGGGGCUACCACUGUCCAUCAGGAAACAAUCGGCGGCACAGCUCAGAUAUCUAGUGGACCAACUCGCCGCCCGCUUGCCACACUGGAAGGCCGCAACUUUGCCGCCAAGUAGCAGGGCUCCUGCUCGUUCAGGCCGUCCUAAGUGCAAUUCCGGUUCACUCGAUGCUUGCAAUGGGCCUCCCACCGAAAACACUGUCAGCCAUGGUCAAAAUCUGCCGCAGCUUUUUCUGGAGCGGUAA